rnacentral:rRNA from 1 species
AUGACAUCGAUGAUCAGCACGGACGAUGCUGCUGCGACAAGCCAUGUCGACGCUCCAGUUCCAGUUACGACGAGGGAUCACGGGGAGGCGGCGGGUGUCGCCGGCAAGGGCGCCGCGUCCGCGGAAGAGCAGGAGCAGGCGGCGGCGAGGCGCGACGUCUUCCUGCUGGCCGGGAUCAGGAAGCUCAUCAAGAGCUUCAGGAGCCUGUCCCACAUCUUCGAGCUGUACAAGGACGAGGAGGAGGAGGACGACGACAUCCAGAUCGGGUUCCCUACGGACGUGGAGCACGUGGCCCACAUCGGGCUGGACGGCUCCAGCAGCGUCGCCAGCCUCAGGGGGAUGGACGGGGCCAGGGAGCUCCUCUCCCUCUCCACCAACAUCUCCCUCCAGCAGUUCGAGUUCGCCAUGGCCUCCAUCGCCGCGCAUGACGACCGCAGCGCCGCCAUAGCAGCUAGCCCGUAA